ACAUUAAUACAUGCUUGUUUAUUCACAGACUACCUCAAGAAGAAUCCAUGUGAAACUCUUAAGUGAUUACAGCUUUGAAAAAGAACUACAGGACCAAAGGUCAGAUGUUUUCACUGAUGUUCUGUAAAAUAUGAUGCUGAAGCAUUUAACCACUGAAAAAAUGAGAGAAAUUGGUAAGUAAUAAAAAGGAAACUAAAUAUCAGACAAUAUGUAAACCUAACAUAUUAAAAGACAACGCACAAGGAAAGGCGCUUACACACACCAGGAGGUAUGAGACUGAGGGUAUCAUGGAAGACAGAACAAUCACAGAGAGGCAGAGGGAAUGAAGUGUGAAGGGCUGACAUGCAGAAUAAAAAUAAGGGCACCUGGCCCUCUAGAAUCUGAUUAAAGGGACAGACUACUGAAAGAAAAAAUGAUGACUAGAAAUGUCCUUCAGGUUUCUAAAGACUUACUCUA
rnacentral:lncRNA from 1 species